GUCUGAGGCUGCGCCGCCCUGAAGGCGCCCGAUCUCGUCCGAUCUGGGAAGCUAAGCAGGGUCGGGCCCAGUCGGUCGGGACCUGGAUGGGAGAAAUAUUACUCCAAAAAUCAUUGCCCCCCAGACA
rnacentral:rRNA from 1 species